GGCAAUUUACCUAGAUCCAAAGAAACAAUAACUACCAAAACUUAUAGCACAGCAACCUCGACCUCUGAAGAAGAGAGCUAUAAAUAUUUACAUCUGGCGUCAGUUGCACAUCACAAUAUGCUGCCUUCUUUUCAUGGGACAACAGAGACCAGAGAAGAAUCACCAUCUUUCUGGAAUAAACCAGUAAAAUUUCACCAUCUCUGGGGGCAAAACCAGGAGCUUCACCAAUCUUGAUCAAGUUGCUUGCAUCAACUCCAUGAAACUCUAAUCUGAAACAGCAACCUCAACGGCCAGACCUCCCAAGUUAACGCAAAGAUACAACACAGCCUCAACACCCCCACCAAUAAGGCCAACAGCAAAAUAUGUAGUGUAGUACAAUGACAGCACAACUCUCAAAUAUGGAGUGCUGAAUGAGUGGGGAGCUCCAGAAUCCUGAAGUACAAUCUAUCCUCUCUCAGAUUGGAGGACAACAUCUUCCUUACACCAAUUGACAGAGACAAUGCUCAAAUCCGAACCCAACACAACAGCAAAUACCAAUAUCUUCUAAAAUCCACGUGCCGAUUUCAUCCAGUGCAUAAGAAAUCAAUCACCAGUUAUUGCAGAUCACGUCCAACCACGAGGAACUAGUCUAGUAGAUUCCUUGACAUCGCGAAAGAAGAAGACCAUCGAUCCACAAAACCCGACUGUAGAUUUGAAAUUAUGCCUACAGCCACCGCCAAAGUCUAGACGAUACAAGGGUCAUCGCCAAGUCGCGGAGAACAGCCCAUUUCAUCUGCAAGAACAUAGAAAAAGAAAAUAACAGGAUAAGCAACUAAAGAUUCAUCAAAACACAAUAACACAGUAAAGUGAUGUGAUCGGAGGGCGGCAACGAAGCGAGAAACGGGCGGCAGCGACUGGCGGGGCUGACUGCGGGCGGCGAUAGGACGGUGAUCUGACGGCGGGGAUGAUCUGACGGUAGACGGCAGGGGAUGAUCUGGCAGGCGGACGGCGGGGGACGAUCGGACAGCAGGCGAGAAACGAUCGGACGGAAGGACCGGAGAAUCAGACGGCGGCGGAUGAACGGACGGGAGGCGGACGGCGGCG
rnacentral:misc_RNA from 1 species